CUGGCAAGUAGUUCUAUUCUGGAAACCGAAAUGCACGUUUGGAUUUUUGCGCUCUGUGGCCUUAUAUGCCAACUACUCCUAAUGAAAGCUCAUGCCACUUUAUUUAGUAUUACUAAAAGCUGCAUCGAAGGAGAAGUUUUGACCCUUCACAAGCAUUGUCGCAAGUUAAAUGGCAUAAGAUGUUUGUUAUUCCCAGCUGUUUAUACAUUGAUAAAAUUGUUGGGAGUGGAAUUCUAAACACUCCGUUGUGACGGAAUAUCUCCACGAAUAUAAAUAAAUAAGAACCUUCGGUAACAUUAUUCCAACAUAUUGUUCUUCGAGCAAGAUGCAAUCCCUACUAUAAGGAUAUAGCCACCGUAAUUACACUAAACCAGUGAACUCUCUUGCCAAACGCCAAAUUGCAUUCGCAAUUCAGGUCGAUUUCCUGAAAAUGCGAUUCAAAAAUGCCACCCCUUCAUUUGAAAACUAAACCCAAGUGCGCGGCUGUGAUGAAAAGAUGAAAAGUGCAUCCAAGAGGUGGAUGUGUGUUUGCAUACGAGUGGCAAAUUCAAUUUGGCCAACUCCCUGGAAAGCCGCAGGCCAACUCUCAAGCUCAAGGCCCACUCAAUGAGUUUCAACUAAUUGCCAGGUGAGGAGAGGCGAAAUAAAUCAGAAUGAAAAUAUUUCCAUUUCGAGGUUGCUGCUGCCACUGCUGCUGGGAUCUUUCUCGCCUGAAAGCAGCGCAACACAUUUCCACACAGCACCAUCCGAGUAGCCCGACUUUUCCGGGGAAAACAAUGCAAUUUUUACUGUUUUAGCGAGAAUUCCACCUCUCUACGGCCAUUUGCAAGGGGUGGGGGAUGGUGUUUUGGCGCCGGGGACGGCCAAUCCGCCGGACAGCCGGUUGAACAUAAUGAAGUCCAGUCCCCGGAUCUCUGUUCUCACUGCCACUCUCUGUUCUAGUCAGUUCGGUUCGUUUGGGUUCGGCAACAUGGCCACGUUAAAUGGAAACGGACGGAUACGGCCCGGUUUUAUCGAAUUAGGAAGCACCCUUUUAGGUCGGUGGUUCCAAAGUGUUACUUCAUAAAAUCUCAUAAAAGCAGGAUAAUUAAGUAAUACGAUUUUUGAGAUGAUAAAAUGGUAUUAGCUUUGAGAUCAUGUUUUUUUUAAAUAAAUCAGCUUGAAAUAUUUUAAAUCUGCCAUAUGUAAGCGCCUUAUUUAAUUCAAUUUACUUUUUUGUAGUUCCCCGAAUCCAAAAAAAAAAUACAUUCAGCAAAGUCUUAAUUUCAUAAAUGGGAUACCUUGACAGCUUCUUUUUAAUGCUUCGAAGUUUCCGUAAAGUGAUAGUACACGCGGCUAGGGUAUUUAAAAGCGAAAAGAGAACUGCACAAAAUCAAGUCAAAAGCGCGAGCGUGCGAAAAAAAUUCGCGAAAUUGAGUUUGAAAAUAAAUUAAAUUAUCGCGCCGUUGCAUGUAAGUAGUUCGGAAUGGCGGGACACAACCAGCACCACCAAUACCACCCGCACCACCCGCACCACCGGGCUUGCCGUUGUCCAAAUGAAUCAAUUUCAACUUAAGCGCCAAUUUAAAAGGCCAGCCAGCCAACUUUCGACACGCAAAUCUAGCCGUCUGUUCCGACUUUGGACCCCCAAUCCCCAACCUCCAAUCCUCAACCUCCAAGCCCCACGAUCCUGUCCGCCCGACUGGCUCCUCCUGCCAGUUUAUCCAUCUAUCGAGCUGUCUGGCAGUUUUGCAUAUUACCCUGCUCCUCCGGGAGUUUUGUCGACUAAAAAGGAGAACAAACUGAACACAAAAAAAUAAGACAAAAAAAAAAAAACAAAGGAAGUGUAAAAGAAACUAUCUGGCGAAAUACUUGCAAAUUCUAUUCGACUUUUAAAUUAGUUUGUCGGGGACGUCUGACAAAAACUUUUCCCCAGGCCCCGAAUGCAAUUAAUGAUUGAGCCGCCGCAGUUGGCCGCAAUUGGCCAAUUCGAAUGUUCAUAGGCCAAAUGCAAAUUGCUCAUUACAUCGCCUAAUUUCAGGCCGUAGCUCAAAUGGCUUACACAUGCCGACGGGCGGUAGUUAAAGGGCGAAAUCAAUGAAAUAUGAUAACGUUUUAUUAGGUAAGCACUUCUGACAAUUUGCAGCGGUCAAUUUAAUCGCUGCCCAAACAAGCGGUGGCCACUACUCACUACCCAGUUCACAGUACCCACUGGACUUUAUUCCUGUGCCACACUGCCACACAGCCCAUAUUUAUUGUUCAGCAGGCAAUGACAGCAACGUGACUCGCAGAACGAAAUGCUGGAAAAAUGAUAACGUAAAUAUGGCCAUGACACUCGGGAAAUGGUGAGGUGAGUUGCUGUGGCACAGUGGUUGAAAAGCCUUACUUACUUUAUGGGAUAAAAAUUAUUAAAUCAUAGUGUUUUUGUAUUUUCUAAUUCAUAAAGUAUCUGUCUAUUAAUUUGUUGUGCUUAUCAAUCGGAUUGUUAUUCUAAUUUAUUUAAAAUUUAU